rnacentral:rRNA from 1 species
UUAUGAAGUUAGCGGCGGACGGGUGAGUAACACGUGGGUAACCUGCCCAUAAGACUGGGAUAACUCCGGGAAACCGGGGCUAAUACCGGAUAACAUUUUGAACCGCAUGGUUCGAAAUUGAAAGGCGGCUUCGGCUGUCACUUAUGGAUGGACCCGCGUCGCAUUAGCUAGUUGGUGAGGUAACGGCUCACCAAGGCAACGAUGCGUAGCCGACCUGAGAGGGUGAUCGGCCACACUGGGACUGAGACACGGCCCAGACUCCUACGGGAGGCAGCAGUAGGGAAUCUUCCGCAAUGGACGAAAGUCUGACGGAGCAACGCCGCGUGAGUGAUGAAGGCUUUCGGGUCGUAAAACUCUGUUGUUAGGGAAGAACAAGUGCUAGUUGAAUAAGCUGGCACCUUGACGGUACCUAACCAGAAAGCCACGGCUAACUACGUGCCAGCAGCCGCGGUAAUACGUAGGUGGCAAGCGUUAUCCGGAAUUAUUGGGCGUAAAGCGCGCGCAGGUGGUUUCUUAAG